AGUGACAGAUCUGGAAACAGGUCCUUCUUCGGACACUCUUCAAGGUGCUGCAUGGUUGUCGUCAGCUCGUGCCGUGAGGUGUCGGGUUAAGUCCCAUAACGAGCGCAACCCUUACCGUUAGUUACCAUCAGGUCAAGCUGGGGACUCUAGCGGGACUGCCACCGUAAGGUGAGAGGAAGGUGGGGAUGACGUCAAAUCAGCACGGCCCUUAUGUCCAGGGCUACACACGUGUUACAAUGGCCGGUACAAAGGGCAGCUACUCCGCGAGGAGAUGCUAAUCUUAUAAAGCCGGUCUCAGUUCGGAUCGAAGUCUGCAACCCGACUUCGUGAAGCUGGAUUCGCUAGUAAUCGCGCAUCAGCCAUGGCGCGGUGAAUACGUUCCCGGGCCUUGUACACACCGCCCGUCAAACCAUGAGAGUCGGGAACACCCGAAGUCGGUAGUCUAACCGUAAGGAGGGCGCCGCCGAAGGUGGGCUUGAUAAUUGGGGUAAAGUCGUAACAAGGUAGCC
rnacentral:rRNA from 1 species